UGAACGCUGGCGGCAGGCCUAACACAUGCAAGUCGAGCGGUAGCACAGGGAGCUUGCUCCUGGGUGACGAGCGGCGGACGGGUGAGUAAUGUCUGGGAAACUGCCUGAUGGAGGGGGAUAACUACUGGAAACGGUAGCUAAUACCGCAUAACGUCUUCGGACCAAAGAGGGGGACCUUCGGGCCUCUUGCCAUCAGAUGUGCCCAGAUGGGAUUAGCUAGUAGGUGAGGUAAUGGCUCACCUAGGCGACGAUCCCUAGCUGGUCUGAGAGGAUGACCAGCCACACUGGAACUGAGACACGGUCCAGACUCCUACGGGAGGCAGCAGUGGGGAAUAUUGCACAAUGGGCGCAAGCCUGAUGCAGCCAUGCCGCGUGUAUGAAGAAGGCCUUCGGGUUGUAAAGUACUUUCAGCGAGGAGGAAGGCAUUGUGGUUAAUAACCGCAGUGAUUGACGUUACUCGCAGAAGAAGCACCGGCUAACUCCGUGCCAGCAGCCGCGGUAAUACGGAGGGUGCAAGCGUUAAUCGGAAUUACUGGGCGUAAAGCGCACGCAGGCGGUCUGUCAAGUCGGAUGUGAAAUCCCCGGGCUCAACCUGGGAACUGCAUUCGAAACUGGCAGGCUAGAGUCUUGUAGAGGGGGGUAGAAUUCCAGGUGUAGCGGUGAAAUGCGUAGAGAUCUGGAGGAAUACCGGUGGCGAAGGCGGCCCCCUGGACAAAGACUGAC
rnacentral:rRNA from 1 species